UAAGACCUGAAAGACUCCACUUUCAUCUUCCGAAUGCAACUCA
rnacentral:tRNA from 1 species